UGGAUCACCUCCUAACAGGGAGACAAACAACGAUUUUGAUGCCUGAGUGUUUUUAUUCUUAGGCCGAAAUCCUGUCACCUUAGGUCGAUCGGUACCUCAGAUUUGAAAUCAAGAUAAUGCAGCAAUGUGUCGUGCUUGAUGGAGAUUUUCAGUUCCUAAACUUUGUCUAGGUCAUACCCCAAAAGGGAUGAGACUCCUGGGCCAUUAGCUCAGGUGGUUAGAGCGCACCCCUGGUAAGGGUGAGGUCCCUGGUUCAAGUCCAGGAUGGCCCAUUCGGUGUUGGGGGUUUAGCUCAGUUGGUAGAGCGCCUGCUUUGCAAGCAGGAUGUCAGGAGUUCGAGUCUCCUAACCUCCACUGGCCGAACUUUAUCCCCAUCUCCAAAUUGUUGGAGUUGAGCUCGAUUGGAGUGUGAUUUAGAUGUGUCCGCUGGAUGACCCCAGCUUCCUGUCAUUCCAAGUUUAAAAGUGAAAGCUUUGAAUUUGGUUGAUAAGAUGCUGGGCUCGAACUGAGCAAUCAGUUUGAAGUUCUAGCAGAACCUUGACAACUGCAUAGGUGAAGUCUGGAAAAACAAAGCAUCUUACAGAUGCAUUGUUUUGAGUCUAAUUUUUCGAAAGAGAGAUUAGAACCAGAACAAUGAAAAUUCUUUUGAGCAAGAGCCGAGACUCUUGAAUGUUCUUUGAUUCGUGUCGAGCGAAUCAGAGUUUGAUCUUGUUUUUAGUAAUAAAAACUUGAGAAUCUGCUUUCAACGGCGGUAAGCGUUCAAGAGGUUAAUUGGUCAAGCUACAAAGGGCUCACGGCGGAUACCUUGGCACACAGAGGCGAUGAAGG
rnacentral:tRNA from 1 species